rnacentral:rRNA from 1 species
CCGAACCGACUAAUGUUGAAAAAUUAGCGGAUGACCUGUGGCUGGGGGUGAAAGGCCAAUCAAACCGGGAGAUAGCUGGUUCUCCCCGAAAGCUAUUUAGGUAGCGCCUCGUGAAUUCAUCUCCGGGGGUAGAGCACUGUUUCGGCUAGGGGGCCAUCCCGGCUUACCAACCCGAUGCAAACUGCGAAUACCGGAGAAUGUUAUCACGGGAGACACACGGCGGGUGCUAACGUCCGUCGUGAAGAGGGAAACAACCCAGACCGCCAGCUAAGGUCCCAAAGUCAUGGUUAAGUGGGAAACGAUGUGGGAAGGCCCAGACAGCCAGGAUGUUGGCUUAGAAGCAGCCAUCAUUUAAAGAAAGCGUAAUAGCUCACUGGUCGAGUCGGCCUGCGCGGAAGAUGUAACGGGGCUAAACCAUGCACCGAAGCUGCGGCAGCGACACUGUGUGUUGUUGGGUAGGGGAGCGUUCUGUAAGCCUGUGAAGGUGUGUCGUGAGGCAUGCUGGAGGUAUCAGAAGUGCGAAUGCUGACAUAAGUAAC